rnacentral:rRNA from 1 species
GACGAACGCUGGCGGCGUGCUUAACACAUGCAAGUCGAGCGGUAAGGCCCUUUCGGGGGUACACGAGCGGCGAACGGGUGAGUAACACGUGGGUGACCUGCCCUCAGCUCUGGGAUAAGCCUGGGAAACCGGGUCUAAUACUGGAUAUGACUCCAUGACGCAUGUUGUGGGGUGGAAAGCCUUGUGCGGCUGAGGAUGGGCCCGCGGCCUAUCAGCUUGUUGGUGGGGUGAUGGCCUACCAAGGCGACGACGGGUAGCCGGCCUGAGAGGGCGACCGGCCACACUGGGACUGAGACACGGCCCAGACUCCUACGGGAGGCAGCAGUAAGGAAUAUUGCGCAAUGGGCGAAAGCCUGACGCAGCGACGCCGCGUGGGGAUGAAGGU